GGCUCUCUGUCGUCUAGCAGGCCUGAUGCACAGAGGGGAAAUGGGCCUGCCUCCCCCACCCUGACUCACUACAGGUCCAUGGCACCCAGCCAGAGCCCACAACUUGUUCACAGCUUUUUGGAAGUUCUACAUUCUUCCUCUCUGCUCUGCCAGCUGAGACAAUUCCUCUCUCCUGCAUCUGGUCUCUGGACUGGGCCCAGACCACCCUACUACCAUUAGCACUGCAAGAUAGAUGAGGUGGAGAGACAGAGCUGGGACCCUGAGCCCACCCUGGCAUUCUCUUUGCUCAACAUCAGGCUCCUUUCCCCUCAUCCCUGCAGGAACUCUGGCUGCCUGGCAGCCUGUGGGGCACAGGAUUUGGAAGGCAUAAAGCUCUUCGGAGGUGAGCCAGGGCAACCUUCUUGGGGUAGAAGAGGAGAAACAGAGGCCUGGAUGUAGGCAAGAGAUCUAUUCCAGAUCACAUUCAGCAGACUGAAAUCCAGGACAACCUGUCCAAGGGUAGCACCAUCGCAGAUGAGCUGGGCCCUCCCACAUCAAUCAUUAAUCAAGAAAAUGCCCUAUAGACUUGCCUUCAGGCCAUUCUGAUGGAGACAUUUUCUCAAUCAAGAAUUCUCUUUCCAGCUUUCUAAAUGAGCAAUCUGCAUCAAGCCAGAGGAACGAGGAAGAAAGUGAGGUGCACCCUGACCUCAGAUGUCUGUCUUCCGUCAUCAGAGCAGUUUCUUGCUCUUCCGGACUCGGAUGGCCGUGUUAAACCCCACAUGUGGUUCUGUGGUUGCCCACAAAGCUUAAAAAUAGCCAACAGGAACAGGGGAAUCCCCACUGGUGAGUAGGGCUGGCCGUUCCCCAGGUGUCUGCUGACCAGCCUCCCUCAUGUACUAUCUAGAGAGAGCUGGGUAUCUAGGAGGGUGUCCUGGAGGCCAUGCUGAUCCUGGAACACACGUUAUUUUCAUACCUCUGGGCAGAUGAGGAAACUGAGCCUCUAAGAGAUGAAAUACCCCAUUUGAAGCUAAGGAGUGUGGAUCUCUCACCCCUACUGUGGCUUGUUUAUCUUGAGCUGGGGACACAAGAAAAAGAACAGGCCCUUCAGAGCCACAUAGACUUUGCUUCCAACUGCAGCCACCCUGGCCACUCCUGGUGGCCUCAGCUGUACCAUAGGGGCUGUGUUGCCCACUUGUAGGAGGAUUGUGGUGGGGAUCCAGGGAAAUAAGGCCCUUGGCACCCACAGCAGGUCCAUCACUGCUACCAGAACUCAGCGUACAGUUUCUGGCCUUCCACCACUUGAGACCAAGCUUCCAAAGUAGGAAGAGUGUGUCCCCCAUCAAAGAAGUGAAAGCACCCACAAAAGCCCCAGAGUGCAGGCCCCUGUGACAGACUAUAACCUUCUAUAGCUGACUUCUGGAGUAGUUCCAGUUCUUUGAACUGAAACCUUAUCAUUCACCAUGGGGAGAUGGAGUCCAUCAACCCUCAUCUGGGGACUGUCACCUUUGGAAUUUCCUCAAUGAAGAGGAUGUGGCAGAAGUGACGUCACAUCACUUCCUAAGCUUAACCUUAACUGAUGGCUGGUGAUGAGGAUGAUGACAUCCCGUCGUGAGAAAGCCCCUGCCUCAGCUAAAGUCACAGCCGACAGCCAACCUCAGCAGCGCGACAUGCCUGUGAAAAGUCCUUCAUAUGAUUCUGUCCACCAGACUUCCUCCCAGCCUAGUAAAGAUCACUUAGAGCAGAAGCCAACUGAACCUGAACCCUGCCAGAAGGCAGGUUUGAAAGCAAAACAAAUGUCACUGUUUCAAGCCACUGUCUCAGGUGGCUGGUGACUCAACACUGGAUCACAAGGAUAGCCUUGCAGCUCAUGGUGGCAGGACCUGCAGUCACCCCUCCUGGUUCUGUGUCACAGGUAGAAUUGCAGAGCUCAGGUUAGGGCCCUUGGACCAACUUUUAUGAUAAAUCCCUGUUUGUCAUAUGAGAGUCUCUCAGGGGACCUGGGUUUUGAAUGAAUCAGCUGAGAGGAAGGAGGGGUAAGUUUUAAGGGGUCUGGACAGAGAGGAGUUUGGAGAGGCCCCACUCUGUGUGCUCCAUCCAGUAAGGACUUCUCCUCAGGCUGCUCACGGACUGAUCAAAGUACAAGAGGAAGCCAAGUAGCUCUGGUCGGGCCCUGGUAGGCUCUGCCAAGGGUGAAUGGGAGCAGCAGAGGAGGGAACAGCCUGCAGGAGCUGAAACAGUGGAACACACCAGACGGGGUUGAGCAAGAGGUCUGCCUCUGAGACUUCUCAGAAAACAGGCAGCAUGCCCUCCCUCUCCCCCUCCCUCUCCCUCCUGGCCCUAUCUAGAGAGAUUAAGUCAGGGAGGUUCCCAGACCGGAGGCGGAGGCAUCCUUAUCAGCCAUGUCUGGGGUACUUGGGAAUGUGAACCCUCCUGCCUGCGGCCCAGCCCUGAGAAGACACCCAGCAGAUGAAGUGUGUCUUGCUCCUGCAGGCCUGCCAACAAUGGCUCCAGGGUCCUCCUCAUCCAUACGCAAGAUGUGUGCUGCCUCUUGAAGCUUUUCUGUCAGUGUGGCCCUGACCAACAUACCCUGUGAAGAAGAUGGCCUGCCUGGAGGAGAGUAGCAUGGCGCACAGUCUGGUGAGCCUUGGGAUCUGCAGAGCACCCUUUCAUACCUCUUGCCGUAUGCCAGGUGCCACUUUGAGUGAUCUUCAUGCAUCACCUCAUGUAAUUCCCACAACCCCCCGCUCCCUACCACCCCCCACGUCAUUUCUUCUUUGUGGAGAAGGAAACUAGGGUGCUGGCCCAAGCAGCAGAGCUGUGGAUACAGUGCACACUAGAAGACUCAGAUGGGGGUUCAGAUCCCCAAAUGCCACCCUAUUGUAAGAAACAGACAAGCAAGGCUGGGCGUUCAAGGAACCUGACAUACCCAGAGCCUCCAAGGGCUUCCCAUCACCAUCAAGGCUUUCAUGCCUAUGGAGAAAUGAGAAGUUGAGGACAUAGGAGGGCCUUGAUUCCACCCUCUGGGAAAAUCUUUGGAAGAUAUGACCCUUGGAAUAUCAGGAGGGUUUGAUAGAUAGAUUGAAUAGAGAGAAGAGUGAAUCCUGGGCAGAGGGAGUUGGAAGGUGAAAAUCCAGAGGUCUGGCUCCUGUGAGGAAUAGUGCCAGUUGGAGGGGCUGGAGAACAACAUCUCUCAGGACUGCAAGAGCCAGCAAGAUAGUAAGGGCCGUCAUGCUUAUGCGGAAAAAUUAGAUUUUACCCCAAGUGCAAUGAACUAUGGAAGAGUUUUGAAGAGAGGAGGACUGUGAUUAGUCACAUGUCCAAAAGAAGAUAUUGUGAAGAGGUGAGGAUGGAGGGUGAGAUGGGUAAGGGGAGACUGUGGGGUAUACAGAUCUGAAGAUAGCAGGCAAGCAUUAGAGUCCAUCAAAGGUAGGGAAUGGGUGGUUGUGGGGAAAGGGGAGGCAGGGGAUGUCAGAGCAGCUUGGGCAUAUCAGGGAUGACACCAGAGGGUCCUGGAAAGUAGAACCAGGCUCAGCUUACAGUACUGAUGAGGACACACCAAGCAUAGCUUUAUGGGGCCUGGGUCUGAGCUCAGCCCUGAUACCAGGUCCUAACAGGAGUGGUUGGAAUGAUAGAAGGUGACUGGGCCCUUUUGGCAGAGUGUUGGCUGGGGUGACUAGGACAGACUGGGACUUAAAAAGAUGCCCAGUAUCAAAAACAGAAGGACAAGCAUCUCAUAGCCACUACAUCUCUGUAGGCUGGUUUGUAGCUGUGAUGACUGAGGGCUCCACAGGCCUCUGGUCUGUGUUCUAUUCUGUGUGUACAGUGUGGAAGCCAGAUCAGAAGGCCCCCUUCCCUUCUCUCUCUGACUUGCUGACUUGGCUUCCUCUGAUCCUAAUAGACCUUAGGCCUUCCCCCAGCUUCAGCAGCCUCCGCUAAUCCACAGCUGGUAUUAAGCCAAAUGAACUCUCAGCUUGCACGGAGGCCUCAAUGUUUGUUCAAAGAACAAAUGAACAGACGGCUGUUGCCAAGACCCAGCUUCUGCACUGCUGUCCAAUUAGUCAGGCCUUGGGAUAUGGACCAGCUCUGGGGCUCUCAGAUCCUCUACCCCUAGAUAUCCCUGCCUGUUGUCUGAAUGUUGGGAGGGGAGACCGUAAGGCCCGGGAAUCUUCCCUUCAGUUUCAGGACCAGAUCUUGGUACAUCAAAGCCCCUGGGCCCAGACCAGGGAUGCAUAGCCCUGCUCCCUCAGAAUUGGAAUGCAGGAGGAAGGCAGCUGAGCAGAUGCAUAGUGACCUUAUAACCUUCUUUACGGAGUGCUAUGGCCCCCACUCACAGAGGCUCAGUGAGGCAGGGAGGAAGGGAAAGCCAUGUGGCAAUGCAGACUAGAGCUCAGAGAGAGGGGCUUAUGCUCAUGCCACACAGCAUGUCAGGUGUGGUGCUUACAGGAAUUGUUGACAAGUGACCUGGACUUCUUCUGGAUCCUGCAUCCUGUCCCAAGGUAAAAUUAAGAGGGGAGAUGCCAGGACCCCAAGCAAACGUGGGGACCAUGUCCCCUUGCUGACAUUUCUGGGCCAUGACCAUCUCUGGGUACCUCUUCUCUGUAUGCUUUUCUCUUUUGUCCUAUUAACUCUUGUCAUGUGGUCUCUGCUUUCUUAAACACACCAGGCUCCCCAACCCAGUGCCUUUAUAUAACGGUUCCCUCCAAACCCUAACCCCUUCCAGGCCCAUGGUUAACAUUUCUUCAGUCACCUUUGAAACUUAACCACUUUUUAUUUUUAUUAUUCUCAUCUAUUAAAAGUAUACAAUUCAGGAUUUUGGUGUAUUCAGUAUUGGGUAAUUGUCACUGACACCAAUUUCAGAAUAUUGGCAUUACCCUCCCUCUAAGACUCUGUACUCCUCAGUGGUUCUGUUGACUAAGGCUGUCAAUAUCUCUGUCUUUAUGGGUUUGUCUAUUCUGAACAGUCCAUAUGAAUAAAAUCACAGCUUGUGGUCUUA